UUUUUUCUGAGUAAAUGGGCAACGCCCAUAGGAAAAGCCUGUCAUCUUCCCAAUGAUUUUUUUUGGAUCUAGGUUUUCGGGAACUGUUGGGUGAUGGGUUUCUUUUUAUUCCCAAUAACUUUUGGCGAGGUCCAAAACCAGUUGUUUUGGAACUUUAUUUUUUGGGCACUUUGGAGAUAGAUGCCAAGUUUGAUCACAAACGGAACUCACGAAGUUUUUAUGCACGACAACGAAAAGUAUGAUUGUAAAUAUAUAGGAGCACGACACGACAAGGAGGAUAACCAAAACCCUUAAGUUGCUCUUUGCUUGCAUCAAGGAACCACUGACAUUCAUUCCCAUAUCUGCCAAUUAUCUGCCUGGCCCAUCUAUUCACGGGGACUAAUUUCUUAAUUUUUUUCGUUGAAUAGUGUAGCGCACUGACAUUGUUAAGGUUCAAUUAUUGCAUUACGUACGAUUGCUGUUGUGCCCAGAGAAACAAAAGUUGCUGAACGGUUGCUGUUGCGCGUCACUAAAACUAUUCUAGCGUUGUAAAUUAACCUAGCACGCUC
rnacentral:lncRNA from 1 species